GACGAACGCUGGCGGCGUGCUUAACACAUGCAAGUCGAACGGAAAGGCCCUGCUUUUGUGGGGUUCUCGAGUGGCGAACGGGUGAGUAACACGUGAGUAACCUGCCCUUGACUUUGUGAUAACUUCAGGAAACUGGGGCUAAUACCGGAUAGGAGCUCCUGCUGCAUGGUGGGGGUUGGAAAGUUUCGGCGGUUGGGGAUGGACUCGCGGCUUAUCAGCUUGUUGGUGUGGUAGUGGCUUACCAAGGCUUUGACGGGUAGCCUGCCUGAGAGGGUGAACGGGCACAAGAGGACUGAGAUACGGCCCAGAAGGCAACGGGAGGCAGGAGGGGGGAAUAUGGCAAAAUGGGGGGAAGCGUGAGGCAGCAACGCCGGGUGCGGGAAGACGGCCUUCGGGGUGUAAACCGAUUUCGCCUGUGACGAAGCGGGAGUGACGGUAAUGGGUAAAGAAGCAACGGCUAACUACGUG
rnacentral:rRNA from 1 species